rnacentral:misc_RNA from 1 species
AGUUUUGGUGGCUCUUCCAAAUAAAGCAAUGAUUGAGGAUUAUUUUGCCUAAGAUUUUCAUGCUGGUUUAUGUGGUAGUCUUGUGAACUUGGAUACUUUUCAAAUUAUCUGUUUAGCUUGUUUUUUAGUUGCUGUCAUGGAGAUGAUCAUUGCAGUCAAUCAUCCUUGUAAGACAACAUUGUUGCUGCCAAUGCUCUGCUGCGUUUACCGUGUCCUUUUUUUAUACCCAGUGAUGAUUUUGUUG